AUUGAACGCUGGCGGCAGGCCUAAUACAUGCAAGUCGAGCGAGUUGCGGACGGGUGAGUAAUGUAUGGGGACUUCCCGAUUGAGGGGGAUAACUUCUUGAAACGGUUGCUAAUACCGCAUACUGUUUGACAACCCAUUUGGGAUUAUCUAGUUGGUAAGUUAAUGGCUUACCUAGGCGACGAUCCCUAGCUGGUCUGAGAGGAUGAUCAGCCACACUGGGACUGGGACACGGCCCAGACUCCUACGGAGGCAGCAGUGGGGAAUAUUGCACAAUGGGCGCAAGCCUGAUGCAGACAUUCCGCGUAUAUGAAGAGGGCCCUAGAGUUGUAAAGUACUUUCAGUCGGGAGGCGUUACCGACAGAAGAAGCACCGGCUAACUCCGUGCCAGCAGCCGCGGUAAUUC
rnacentral:rRNA from 1 species